rnacentral:rRNA from 1 species
AGACGUCUACAUUAGAUCCCGUGUAGUCCCAGCCGUAAACUAUGCUCGCUAGGUGUCAGGCAUGGCGCGACCGUGUCUGGUGCCGCAGGGAAGCCGUGAAGCGAGCCACCUGGGAAGUACGGCCGCAAGGCUGAAACUUAAAGGAAUUGGCGGGGGAGCACAACAACGGGUGGAGCCUGCGGUUUAAUUGGACUCAACGCCGGACAACUCACCGGGGACGACAGCAAUAUGUAGGCCAGGCUGAAGACCUUGCCUGAAUCGCUG